AUUAAUUUAUAGAGGUUUUACUAUAUACUCUCUCCGUUCUUUAAUAAGUGAUGUUUUAAACUUCUAAUUUUGUUCUUAAAUAGAUGAUGUUUUCAGUUUUCAAUGCAAA